rnacentral:rRNA from 1 species
UGUAGUGUAAUUCCUACAAUGUUAAUGCACUGGAUCCCAUUAGGACUCCACAGUUAAGCAUGCUUGGUAUAGAGUAGUACUGGAUGGGUCCAUAUGUUCAACAU